rfam:Sus scrofa chromosome 7.
CGGAGAUGACGGAUUUACAUCCCAGACAGUGUCACUCGGGUCGAGGAGCAGCUGCUGUUGCAGAAUCUAGGCACGUAUUUCUUUCCCCUCCUUCCUUCUUCUCCUUCUUGGAGGCAGUCAGAAGAGAAGGUGGGAGGUGAUGGGGAAG